rnacentral:snRNA from 1 species
GUGCUCCUUUCAGCAGCACAUAUACUAAAAUUAGACCCAUUCAGAGGGAUUAGCAUAACCCUUGCACAUGGAUGACAUACAAAUUCAUGAAGUGUUCCAUAUUUUU